CCCUCUCCCAUCACCGCCGGUUCGAUCGACGGACCAGCGUACAAAAGCCAUCCUCGACGCCACCGCCAUCAUGUCCCUUCAAUCCCCUCUCCCUCUCUAUGAUACUAUGGAGCCAUUAAUGCUCUGCAAACUAGCCUGUUCAACCUCCAAACAGGAAAAACGUGACAAUCUUGCAAAUACAAGGACGAUUGAAUGGAUAAAAAAACCUCACCCUACCUUCAGAGCUUGGUUUGCUGAAAAAUCUUUCGGACUUUCGGUUUCAACGGUCUCAACCUUUCAAAUCAUCUCUGAAAAAGUUCUCGGCUGAACAAGGAUUGCUUGAAGCGGAUUCGGAGACUCGACGACGACAUUAGCCUCAGUCCGUUGUCCCGGAGAAGGUCGGUAAUCACAUUCGUCUUCUCUUCGUCUUUAAUUCUGUAGAAGUCAAAAUAUAGUCAUUUUGUUGUUCUUAGCAUUCUUUGGAGUUCGCUUGUUCAAAUCUGCCUACACUUUAGUUUCUAUAAACAAGCAUGAAAUGGUUGUGGCAAUCUAUUAGCGUUUAAAGAAAAUGAUCGUUUAGCUUGGUGAAUACAUGAAUAGUAGUGUCGCUUCUCUAAAAAUCUGUUUGUGGCAUCCCUUAGGGGAUUGUUUUAUCAUGUAAAAUCAAGCAUGUAAAAUGGCUAAAAUAAAUCAUAAACUCAAAACAAAUGUCCUGAUUCGUUGGUAGUCAAUACUAGUCUAUACAUAUAGGUUCGAAUAAUCAUUUUGUUUCCAUUAGUUUGAAUCUGUCUACAUCCCGUAAUCUUUUUUUUCUUUUUCUUUUUUUACCAUUAAGGCUGUAGCUAUAGAUGGCUUGAAUCAUGUUUUAUCCUUCAUUCAUGUCUUCAAAACCAGUUCUAGUAUGGAUCAAUAUUAAGAUGUUUGUGUCAAAUAGUUGUUUUCUACUUUCAUUUGGACAUGAGCAUGAAACAUUAUUUGUUUAAGGGCAUUGAAAGGUUAGCGUUGUCCCUGUUUUAGUUAGCUUAAAUAAAAUGGUUGAUAACAUAGCUGCUGCUAAUACGAUUUCCUAAAGCUCUACUGUAAAAUCCAUUUAGACCUUAUGACUAAAAAAUAUCAUGCCUUGGCUGAAGAUUGAGUUAAGUAGAGGUUAAGCUAACAAUUGAUUUAUUGGCUUUCUAUUUUGUUUAAACCUUGUUAAGUUAGUAGUUUUUUUUAUUUUUUUUAUUUUUUUAUUUUUGGUGUGAACGUGAAUAGGCGUAGGCUCAAAUCUGAAUCUUUCAUUCAAAACUUAGUCCCCAUGUUCAUUUAGUUUAGAAUUGUUGGUGGUUUAGUUAGCCAAAUCCUUAAAAUAGUUUACUUCCUACCUUGAAAACUGUUUUCAUCUUUUAUUUUCAAUCUGUUUUUCCUUUAAGACAACGGGAGAAUGAAUUUGCGUAGGCUAAGUUGUUUUCCUUGGGAUUUUUGAUCAAAAUUAGGUGUUGCGUUCCUUGUUUAAAGUUUUAAUCUUUUUCUUUAGAAAACACAGGUUGUGCUUUAACUAAUAAGUGGAAACUUAGUUUUAACAGUUGGUAUGAACUUGGAGGGGUGGCUCUGAGAUUAGUGUUUUACUUCUAUUUUGAGGAUUGAACCCUGUUUUUUUCCUCUUUAACUGAUAGGAAAAUUAUAAUUUAAACAAGUAAAGUCUUUUCUUUUCCUUGAAUCAACUGCUUUGUCCCCCCCCCCCCCCCCCCCUUUUUUUUUUUGACUGACUGCUUCUCUUCACUAGGAUUCUGCACUUAAAAACCUGGUUAUAUAAUUCGUAAAAUUACCAAUUGAUAAUGCUUGGAAUAGGUGCAGGAUAUGAACCAUUUACAUGUAUAAGUCCAGACCGUGUUGUGUCCUAAUAUAAAUGCUUGAAAGAUCUCUCUUGUGUUUGCCGUGUUCUGUUUCUAAGAUAUGAAUUCAUUUAUCACCUUAGCUAAAACUAGAGUGUAAUGA